CAAGUGCUCAAAUUCAAGGCGACUUAUGGCACAGCUGUUAUCCCUGUCCUGCAGCCUGUUCCUUCUGUCAUCCUCUGCAGCCUUGAUCUACUGUAGCCUGAGCCAUGAUACUGAACAAGAACCUGUUCUACAGUACUUGUUAAAACGAGAAUUAAAACAAACCCUGUGGAUACCACUAACUUGUGGUUAUCUUCCUUGAAAAUAUCCAUCAUCUUACACCGCAGUUGUAAACAAGUGCUAUGCAUGCUAUCAUCUGUUAUGAAUGGUCAUAACACUAUUGUUUUAGGUGAGUAAGCUUUAUAUUUUAAACAGCAUUGCCAUCUUGUGGUUCUGACAAGUGUUAUCAUUCUGUUUCUUUUUGCAACCCUUUUUUUCUUUAUUGUGUUGGCAAGAAUUCCUGAAAUGCCAUGGCAUAAUUAACAGAAUUGCUAUUGUUCCAGCUGCAAAACAUUCACAGAAAAGCCUGUGUCUGAAUGUCAGAAACUAUUUCACCAGUCUUUUAAGAAGAUAAUUUUAUCUCCUUCCCCUGAAAGGAAGGGAGUAGAUAGUUAAAGUUUUUAUUGGAAGGGUCAUCGUGAGACACCUAAUUGUAAGAGCUGCCUUAUUAAUUUUUGUCCACUUUUCAGAGUUUCUUCCAGAUACAUAUACUUCAGCAAGUGCCUGGACUCUUUGCCUGUGUCUCCUGGACCACUGAUAGUCCACAAGAUCAUCCACAGUCCAAAAAAAGACCUGUUAAGAGUACUGUGAUUUUAGAUAUUCAUAAUACGGGGUCAGAAAACUGUUCUGAAUUCACAGUGGCAGAAAUCCAUCUUUUUCUUUAAGAACCAUUGUUUUCUGUGUUUGCACAGUGCUAGUAUUAAGGAAUCAUGCUCUGACUUAUUUGUGGACAAUGUUAAUCAAUGUGCCAGUGUCACUGGCCUCAGAGGACACCCUGUCAGAGUUCAAGACACGUAGCCCAUUUGGCAAUGGACAGGACUGCUCAGUACUUGAAUGCAAUUAUCUUCUCAGUCCAGAAGAUUGAAGAUACGAUGCCUUUGUCACCUUUGGUGACAGGAAAGUCUCAAGACUUUUUACUGCACCAGUCGUUUGUCAGAUAACUCCAGAGCUCUGCCUUGUCAGAUGAGUUGCUGAGUACCUGAUGUUACAUGGUCCCACUGAAAGAAAGAGGCUGUUAGUUCUGCUGGAGCUUAAAAGACAAGCAGGAUUUAUUUUUUCUCUCUUCUAUGCAAAAUGUCAAGGUGCUUAUUGUCUGCUCAAACUUUUCUAGAAAAUAGCUAUUCUCCUAUCAGAACUUGGUAAUACAUCUUCCGGUGACCCUAAGAGAGUGCCACCCGUAACACCCAGAGCCAGGGCUUUCCCCACCUGAAGUCAAGCCCUGUAAACAAGUGAUGGUUUCCCUGGGGCUUUGCUCCUUCCCAGUCAUGUUGGAUUCUUCUACUUUUGGUAUAAAAUCAGUAAUUUUCAAUAUUCUGGAUUUGAGGUCCUGUAGAAAUCUGCCAAGUACUGAGCAGGUAUCUCUGAAAAUUCCACCUGUGUAAAACACUGGAUAGUAUACAUAAACCCUUAAACUUGCUGUUUUUCUUUCAGGACACUGUUUCAAGUUAAGCCUAUGAACAAGGAUUUCCUGGUUUGAAGGUAAAUUCCAGGGACACCACAUUGCCAGGGAGGGAAGUUUACUGGCAAGAGCUUUUCUUAAUGAACUAAGGAUUCCUGACAAACUUCCUGCAUAUUAAAUAUAGAAAAUGAAAAGUUAUCAUGGUUCAGGCUUCAGAACUCAGUACACAUGACAUACCGCACAUUCUUUACACCUAGAACCAGAUAAAGAAAAAGGAUGAGGAUUACAUUUAUUUAUGCAUGAAUGUAGUGAACAUCUGCCAAAAUCUAUCUUGUUAUUUUAAUUCUCCAUUUCAACAAAGCGGGCCAUCUGCUCUGUCACCAGCAAAGAUCUUGUUCUAAAAGCUAAAUCAAAAGAUCACCUGUCUUGUGCACCUUGUUCUCGCUUAACACAAACAAAAUUUUAAUGGUAUCCAUCUGUAGGUAUGAUGGUGACCUGAACCAGGUCAUUGAUUCAAAAUUAGCAGCUGGAAUUUAGUAUACAGAAUGGCAAUUCAAAUAUUUAGACUCUAUCAAUAACUAAAAGGCAUGAAAUUAGGUGUACUGUUUAAAACGGUCACUCUAUAUUUUUAAAUACAGGCUCUUCAGACACUUAUAAAAGACAGUGACACAUAAAUUAAAAUCUAUAAACUUUCCUUAAGAUGAUAUUAAAGUCUGCAAUGAAACUCUUGAACUUGUAUUCUUUUCAUAUUUUAUGGUACACAUUGAAUAACCAGAAAGAUUCUAUCAAUGCAUAAAUAUAAAAUAUAAUACAAUAGCACAACAAAUUGCCAGAUUAGUCUUUAAUACGAGAAACUGAGUUUUGUAAUGUUCUGUUUUUUAAUAAAAUUGCUCAAACUACAGAACAGUAUAUUCCAUUUUUUGCUUGUUUCCCAGCCUAGCAAAAUGAGGGGAAAUAAGAGGCAGGUGUUAUAACCUUGGCAUGACUUCAAUGCUCACUAACAGAAAAGAAAAAAUGUUAAAGAAGAGGAUAUUAUUGUAUCAUUUGAGCUAGUUAAAUUGCUUGCACAGCCUUGCAGAAUUUUAGUGUGUUAGCUUUAACAAGAAGGUGGAAGCUUUGCAGGACCAUAAAGAAUUCAAUAAUGUGUUAGUUUCUCAUAGGAGGAAAUCUGCCAGAACCAGUAAUCAUUAGGGACUGACCCCCCUGGCUCUGGGUGCCUGAGGAGCUGUACUAGUAGGAAACUCCACUUGUCACUGCAGCCCAGGCCAGCUGAACCUGGGCCUCCAGCCUGCUGCCAACACUCACAAUGUUUUGUUGCUGUUGUUAAAUCCCAAAGUUUUCUCUAAUUGAGGCUGCAGAUAACAGUACAUUGUUGAUGCUUAGCACUUAGCAAAAAGGCAGCAUUUAUGCUAUACGCUUAUUUGCAAUUCACUAGAACUGUUUUGUCUCAUAUUGGAGUGAAGUUGUUUCUGUGCACUAAGCACUAUCAGCAAAAAAAUCAUUACUUCAUCAAUCUCUCUCAAUACCAAUUAGUGGUUAUUUUCCAGAACAGUCCAAUUUAGAUUAAGCUAAACUAUUACAUUACUAGUACUUACAUUAUCCUGAUGAUCAUGAUCCAGCUUCUUUAAUUAGGCACAUCAGCAUGUCUAUGUAAGAUUGUCUACAAAAGAACAGUCUUUUCAAAUUUUUUCAUGAGACGCUCAUUAGCCUUACUGACACAUCGCUGCGUUUCAAGAAACACCUAGCAAUCAGGCCUUAUCUCUGAAUUACAGGUGAUCUUUUUGAAAUAUUUUUUAAUCAAACAAUCACAGGAUUGCAUUAAAGGAGUAUAGAUUACUUAAAUUUAAAAAAAAGAAUCUAGUCAUGCUUUACUACAUGCAAACUUAGGCUGUAGAUUAGUAGAGGUAACAGAGUAAAGCAUGGUAUUUACUCAUGAUGAAAGCAAAUUUCUUUUCUCUCAUAAGAAUUUACCAUGUCGCUUUCAAAAUACUCCUCACUGCAGCACAUUCACCAGGUCUGCCCCUAGGAUCUUUUCCAACCUAAAUGAUUCUAUGAUUCUGUAAUUCUAUGAUUAUCUUUGCUGGGCGAAGAGAGGCCAUCAUCAGGGCGAGGCCAUGUGGGGCCCAUCCCAUGGUUCCUGCACAAGGCUGGCAGGGCAGGACUGGCCGGGAAGCCGCCCCAGGCACCACUGCAGCCGUGAUGGCCAGGCAGGUCCUUGGGUGAGGCAGCCAGGCUGCGGCCAAGGCAGGCAGCUGGGCCGGCCAGUGGGGGUGAGGGUCACUGAAGUGCAGGGCCAGCCAGGGACAUGGCUGGGACACAGCUCAGGCAGGGAGCGAGCUUCAGGGCAUCUCCACCUGCUCCACCAUGGGGUCUUCCACAGGCUGCAGUGUGGAUGUCUGCCCCACCAUGGUCCUCUCCACGGGCUGCAGCGGAGUCUCUGCUCUGACAGCUGGAGCACCUCCUCCUCCCCUUCUCUUUAUCUUUUACCUUGGUAGUCACAGGGUUGUUUCUCACACUCUUACUUACUCUUCUGCCUGUACAGCACGUUUGUCCUUCCUUAAAUGUGCUUUCACAGCGAGUUUUCCCUGAGGGGCUCCGCGGUGCCCUGCAACGGCACAGCUGUGCUGGAGCCGGCUGUGCUGGCAUGGGGCAGCCCUGGCCCCUGCCCGACAGAGACUGCUGCCAUCACCUCACCAUGUUACAGAUUUGCUAAAAUCAUUUUAAUAGAAAUAUAGAGGAAUAAGAAAUAUAUUCUAAUGAAACUAGUAGUUGCACAACAAAAGCUGCUAUGGAAUCCUCUGUACAGCCCUGUACCAAGGCUAAGAACUUAUAUUUACUCAAAGAAUGUAGGUAUAGUAAUUAGGUCAUGUAACCGUAGUUUGAAAGAAAUAAUUAAUGAAAUAACUGAUGAAAGGAGGAGUCUGUUUCUCUUUCUUUAACUUUCUAUAACAAGGGGCCUGUUUAUAAGUUAUCUAGAGGGAACGACUAAAAGAAACAAGCAGCAGACACAGAUGGUCGACAAGGACAUAAAUUAGCUCAGACCGAUAAGAACACUGCAAACUUGCAAGACUAUCACAUUCCAGGCAAAAGGUGAAAACUACACCAUGAGAAGGACCUACGGCCUUCCUCCCAAAGACCACUGCCCACGUCCCAGAGACCCCUGCCCACAAUUCUUGGAAGGGUUUGUGCAGGCGCAAAGGACUGAUAAGCUGAUUAACAUACGAAGCGAGAGCAUGUUAAUGAUUUUCGGGAAAUGCUAUGUUUAUGCAUGAAUACUUAAUGAAUAUGUAUGAAUAAGUUCUAUAUGAGGUGUAUGAUUUUGAAACUUGGUGUGCAUUGAUUGUGAGAGGACUCACUCACGCACCCGGCUGUCAAUAAAGAAGUGUCUGCUUAUCUACAUCA